UGGGGAAUUUUGGACAAUGGGGGAAACCCUGAUCCAGCCAUCCCGCGUGUGCGAUGAAGGCCUUCGGGUUGUAAAGCACUUUUGCAGGAAAGAAACGUCAUGGGUUAAUACCCCGUGAAACUGACGGUACCUGCAGAAUAAGCACCGGCUAACUACGUGCCAGCAGCCGCGGUAAUACGUAGGGUGCAAGCGUUAAUCGGAAUUACUGGGCGUAAAGCGUGCGCAGGCGGUUCGGAAAGAAAGAUGUGAAAUCCCAGAGCUCAACUUUGGAACUGCAUUUUUAACUACCGGGCUAGAGUGUGUCAGAGGGAGGUGGAAUUCCGCGUGUAGCAGUGAAAUGCGUAGAUAUGCGGAGGAACACCGAUGGCGAAGGCAGCCUCCUGGGAUAACACUGACGCUCAUGCACGAAAGCGUGGGGAGCAAACAGG
rnacentral:rRNA from 1 species